AUAAACCUGCUCUCCUAGGAGACCUGAAGGCUGCUUCCGCUAACCCGGGCUGGCGCUGCUAACCUCACCCAACGAUCCCUGCUGUCGGAAAAUGUCCAGAGGCACCAUCCCUGCUAUGAAGAGGGAAUGCCAGUACAACAGCCACAAGGGGUCUUCCUGUGGCCCUCAAACAAAAAAUCACUGCAUUACAUCAGCAGAGUCGGAUUCUCGCCCUGUUCCCCAGGCUGCAGUGCAGUGGCGCGAUCUCGGCUCACUGCACCUCCGCCUCCCGGACUCCAGCAAUUCUCCUGCCUCAGCCUCCUGAGUAGCUGGGAUUACAGGCGCGCGCCACCACACCCGGCUAAUUUUUUGUAUUUUAGUAGAAACGGAGUUUCACCGUGUUGCCCAGGCUGGUCUCAAACUCCUGAGCUCAGGCAGUCCACCCGCCUCGGCCUCCCAAAGUGCUAGAAUUACAGGCGUGAGCCACCUCACCCGGCCAAAUUACAUUAAUAUUUUAUAUUGAGGAGGAAGUUGGUUACAAAGGACUUUCAAAAGUGUCGGGGUUAAUAAUCUGCAUAUUUUAAAAUAUUCCAGGCCGGACGCGGUGGUUCAUGCCUGUAAUCCCAGCACUGUGGGAGGCCGAGACGGGCGGAUCACGAGGUCAGCAGAUCGAGACCAUCCUGGCUAACACGGUGAAACCCCAUCUCUCCUAAAAAUACAAAAAAAUUAGCUGGGCGUGGUGGCGGGCGCCUGUAGUCUCAGCUACUCGAGAGGCUGAGGCAGGAGAACGGCGUGAACCCGGGAGGCGGAGCUUGCAGUGAGCCAAGAUCGCGCUACUGCACUUCAGCCUGGGCGACAGAGCGAGACUCCGUCUCUCUCUCUCUCACGCUCUCUCUCUAUAUAUAUAUUCCAUAGACUGCAUUGGAGAGAAAGGCGCCGGGACAGAAAAGCCUGAGAUAAACCACCUGUCAUUCUUGGAGAAAAGGAUGCUGCGGCUUUCCCGAUUUGGUUGAUGAGAUGGAAAAUCAACCCUUACAGGAAGGACAUCACCAAUUCCGGAAAGGAUGCUGCGCCAGUCAUGUUUCCGCACUCUGUGAGACGUUGAAAUCUCCAGAAGUUGCCCAAGGUUUUCAAGCUGAACACAGGAGAAAUGACUCUGGAUCUCUGAGGACUGUUUUCCUCAAUAAGGAGCUGCAAUCUUGGCUCCACCACCCUCCCUCCAAAACAUCUCGUGUGUCUGGUAUCUGGUUAUAUUGUGGCCUGACAGAGAAGUUUCUUUCGGGGCCAGUGAAUUAAAAAAAAAAAAAAAAAGAAAAGCGGGUCCUACCAACUCAUUAAUACUUUAAUACUUUAAAUUUCCCUCUUUAUAGUAGGUUGAAAUGUCAGUAUCUCUUAAGAACAAUGGCUGAACCAAAUGUUUCCUCAAAACUCACAUUUUUUCCCACCAUUUCAGAAGCUGCCUCAGGACUAAGCUUUGAUUUUUUUUUUUUUUUUUAAUCUGGCCCAAAUUCCUAUCUAAGGGGCCUGGGGAGUCAUGCCCAACAAACCAUAAAUUCUCAUCAGAUGAGUUUUAUUUAACCCUAUAUAUGGUGACUUGCUUUCCAGUCUGACUCUGGCAUGACAUGUGACAAAGAAGAAAGUCAAAAUAUUUUACCCCAAAACAUGUUUCUUUGCCAUAUUUUGAAAUGGUCCUGCAAAGCUGUGCUUUGUGGGGGAAAAUAUGCAUCUGUAAAGAAUCUCUAUUAACACAGCUAGAUCUUUUUCUUCCAGGCCCUCCCAAUCCUGAAGAGACUGAGAGUCUAGCAUUGUUUUAAAGGUCUGAAUAGGAAACAUUUGUCAUCUAUCAUCUCUAAGGGUAGCCAUUAUAAGACUUCAAAAGAACCUUUUGAAGUAUUAUAAUCUUUUAUCUUAACCUGAACAUGUGCUUCCUAUUGAUCCCAGGUCUUCAGACAAUUGUGAACUCAACCAUUUGUCAAUUAGAAAAUGUUUAAAUUGGCUGGGCACAGUGUCUCAUGCCUCUAAUCCCAGCACUUUGGAAGACCAAGGCGGGCAGAUUGCCUGACCUCAGGAGUUCGAGACCAGCCUGGGCAACAUGGUGAAACCCCGUCUCUACUAAAAUACAAAAAUUUAGCCGGGCGUAGUGGCAUGCACCUGUAGUCCCAGCUACUUGGGAAGCUGAGGAAGGAGAAUUGCUUGAACCCGGCGGGCAGAGGUUGCAGUAAGCAGAGAUCGUGCCACUGCACUCCAGCUUGGGCAACAAAGUGAGACUCCAUCACAGAAAAAAAAAAGAAAAUGUUUACCUUUACCUAUAGCCUGGAAAUCCCUGCUUUGAGUUGCUCCAUCUUUCUGAACCAAACCAAUGUUAUUUCUUAAACGUAUUUCAUUGAUGUCUCAUGCCUCCCUAAAAUGUAUAAAACCAAGCUGUGCCCCGAACACCUUGGGCACAUGUUCUCAGGACCUCCUGAGGGCCGUGUCACGGGUCAUAAUCACUCAUAUUUGGCUCAGAAUAAAUCUCUUCAAACAUUUUACAGAGUUGACUCUUAGUCAACAUGUCCAUACCUGAUGAGAUGCUUCAUCAAAAUUCUAGUGGACUGGCUAGUUCAGAAAAUGGACCAGCCAGGUUUGCUUAAAUGCACCCCUGCACAACUAUCUCACUCCUGCUUGGAGCCGGCUAGAUCAGGAGACCUGUCCCUAAACUAAUGUACUCCAUGUCUUAAGUCUUUUUGUUUUGUUUUGUUUUUGUUUUUGACAGAGUCUCAGUCUGUCACCCAGGCUGGAGUGCAGUGGCGUGAUCUUGGCUCGCUGCAACCUCCGCCUCCCAGGUUCAAGAGAUUCUCCUGUCUCAGCCUCCCAAGUAGCUGGGACAACAGGUGUGCACCACCAUGCCCUGCUAAUUUUUGUGUUUUAAGUAGAGAUGGGGUCUCACCCUGUUGGCCAGGCUGGUCUCAAAUUCCUGACCUCAGGUGAUCCACCCACCUCGGCCUCCCAAAGUGCUGUAAUUACAGGCAUGAGCCACCGCACCCAGCCCAUGUGUCUUGGUCUUUUUUACUAAUAUUGAUUAUAAAAUGGAUGAAACUUUGGAUA
rnacentral:lncRNA from 1 species